AGCGAACGCUGGCGGCAAGCUUAACACAUGCAAGUCGAGCGCUGUAGCAAUACAGAGCGGCGGACGGGUGCGUAACACGUGGGAAUCUGCCUUUAGGUUUGGAAUAACUCAGGGAAACUUGAGCUAAUACCGUAUAAUGUCUUCGGACCAAAGAUUUAUCGCCUAAAGAUGAGCCCGCGGUAGAUUAGCUAGUUGGUGAGGUAAUGGCUCACCAAGGCUACGAUCUAUAGCUGGUCUAAGAGGAUGAUAAGCCACACUGGGACUGAGACACGGCCCAGACUCCUACGGGAGGCAGCAGUGGGGAAUAUUGGGCAAUGGGCGAAAGCCUGACCCAGCUAUGCCGCGUGAAUGAUGAAGGCCUUAGGGUUGUAAAGUUCUUUUACCAGGGACGAUGAUGACGGUACCUGGAGAAAAAGCCCCGGCAAACUUCGUGCCAGCAGCCGCCGUAA
rnacentral:rRNA from 1 species